GGGGGGACGUUUUCCGGAUUUUGGGCGUAAGCGCGCGCAGGCGGUUUCUUAAGUCUGAUGUGAAAGCCCCCGGCUCAACCGGGGAGGGUCAUUGGAAACUGGGGAACUUGAGUGCAGAAGAGGAGAGUGGAAUUCCACGUGUAGCGGUGAAAUGCGUAGAGAUGUGGAGGAACACCAGUGGCGAAGGCGACUCUCUGGUCUGUAACUGACGCUGAGGCGCGAAAGCGUGGGGAGCGAACAGGAUUAGAUACCCUGGUAGUCCACGCCGUAAACGAUGAGUGCUAAGUGUUAGAGGGUUUCCGCCCUUUAGUGCUGCAGCAAACGCAUUAAGCACUCCGCCUGGGGAGUACGGUCGCAAGACUGAAACUCAAAGGAAUUGACGGGGGCCCGCACAAGCGGUGGAGCAUGUGGUUUAAUUCGAAGCAACGCGAAGAACCUUACCAGGUCUUGACAUCCUCUGACAACCCUAGAGAUAGGGCUUCCCCUUCGGGGGCAGAGUGACAGGUGGUGCAUGGUUGUCGUCAGCUCGUGUCGUGAGAUGUUGGGUUAAGUCCCGCAACGAGCGCAACCCUUGAUCUUAGUUGCCAGCAUUCAGUUGGGCACUCUAAGGUGACUGCCGGUGACAAACCGGAGGAAGGUGGGGAUGACGUCAAAUCAUCAUGCCCCUUAUGACCUGGGCUACACACGUGCUACAAUGGGCAGAACAAAGGGCAGCGAAGCCGCGAGGCUAAGCCAAUCCCACAAAUCUGUUCUCAGUUCGGAUCGCAGUCUGCAACUCGACUGCGUGAAGCUGGAAUCGCUAGUAAUCGCGGAUCAGCAUGCCGCGGUGAAUACGUUCCCGGGCCUUGUACACACCGCCCGUCACACGACGAGAGUUUGUAACACCCGAAGUCAGUGAAGUAACCUUUUGGAGCCAUCUGCCGAAAGUGGGACAGAUGAUUGGGGUGAAAUCGUACAAAGGUAACCGGUAGGGUGGACUUUUUUUGAGCCGUGUUUUUUAUGGGGCUUCCCCUUUGGGGGCCCCAUCGUAAUGGGAGGGGUUUGUUUUUCCCCCCCCAACGGGGUUGUGUUUAAGAGGCGAUAAAUCCCUCCCCCCAGGCGGGGGGCGGUUGGACCUAAAUUGACUUUCCUUGGAUGGGGAGAAAAUUAAGUGGGGGCGCCGCCGUAAAAAAAAAGAAGGA
rnacentral:rRNA from 1 species